AAUGCCCGGUGUCGUAAAUUGUCUUUGGACAACAAGCCGAAGGAAUCUAGAAUGCAUCAUUUUUUCCACCUCAUUUCUGAACAUCUUAUGAACAUGGACUCAUAUGAUACUCAAGAGCUCUAUGAUCAAAAGUCCAACAUGGUUAAGAGAUGCUUUCAGUUGGCAAACGGUGCAAGAUUAAUUCAUACAUGCAAUGAAGUGCAUUUUCCAACUCUAUACACCUUCAAUGAGUGCAAGCAUUGGUUUGAUUUUGCC